rnacentral:rRNA from 1 species
GUGGGGAAUCUUGCGCAAUGGGCGAAAGCCUGACGCAGCCAUGCCGCGUGAAUGAUGAAGGUCUUAGGAUUGUAAAAUUCUUUCACCGGGGACGAUAAUGACGGUACCCGGAGAAGAAGCCCCGGCUAACUUCGUGCCAGCAGCCGCGGUAAUACGAAGGGGGCUAGCGUUGCUCGGAAUUACUGGGCGUAAAGGGCGCGUAGGCGGACAGUUUAGUCAGAGGUGAAAGCCCAGGGCUCAACCUUGGAAUUGCCUUUGAUACUGGCUGUCUUGAGUACGGGAGAGGUGAGUGGAACUCCGAGUGUAGAGGUGAAAUUCGUAGAUAUAGGAAGGAACACCAGUGGCGAAGGCGACCACCUGGACUGAUACUGACACUGAGGUGCGAAAGCGUGGGGAGCAAACAGGAUUAGAAACCCGUGUAGUCC